CCUACGGGCGGCAGCAGUGGGGAAUAUUGGACAAUGGGCGAAAGCCUGAUCCAGCCAUGCCGCGUGUGUGAAGAAGGCCUUCGGGUUGUAAAGCACUUUCAGUGGGGAAGAAAGCCUUGGGGCUAAUACCCUCGAGGAAGGACAUCACCCACAGAAGAAGCACCGGCUAACUCCGUGCCAGCAGCCGCGGUAAUACGGAGGGUGCGAGCGUUAAUCGGAAUUACUGGGCGUAAAGCGCGCGUAGGCGGUCUGAUAAGCCGGUUGUGAAAGCCCCGGGCUCAACCUGGGAACGGCAUCCGGAACUGUCAGGCUAGAGUGCAGGAGAGGAAGGUAGAAUUCCCGGUGUAGCGGUGAAAUGCGUAGAGAUCGGGAGGAAUACCAGUGGCGAAGGCGGCCUUCUGGACUGACACUGACGCUGAGGUGCGAAAGCGUGGGUAGCAAACAGGAUUAGAUACCCUUGUAGUC
rnacentral:rRNA from 1 species